rnacentral:misc_RNA from 1 species
AUUAUUGUCUGCUCGUGUGUUAGUGCUCUUCCUCCUAGCAUUGGCCUCCGUUGUUUUGUUUUCGCUGUUGAAGUGGUGUCUCAUUGCGGCGAGGCACACUUGCACUUCCUGGCGUGCUAAGCAUCUCCCAUCCCUCACUCACGCGUACGCCUUUACACACGUACCGCUCUUUGUGCAGUUAUCGAUGUCUCGCUCGAAGCACGUGGAGUGGGAUGAGAAGAACCUGGAGGCGAACGCCGAGUACCAGCGACAGCACCCCGUGACGAUGCACAUCACGGAGCCGAAGACGCCGUACUCAUACGCCGAUGGUGACGACUUGGAGGCCGAGGAAGAGGGGUUGCUCAAAUGGGACCCCGCUGUGAACGCCAAGGUGAAAGAGAUCAAGGAGCAGAUAGCUGGGGACUUCUCUGAUCGACCAGUAGCCCCAAUCGCGAAGUCUGGGCGGCCGAUGCUGGCGGAGGGCACCUCCACCGGUGAGCUAGCUCAGCAGCAGCAUCGAAAAGAAUUCCGCAAGAUGCGCAAGGCCGUGUACGCGGACGAGGGUGCCAUGUUCAAGAGGGCUCUGGCUCACGAAUGCAAGGACGAGGAUGACGAGUAGACGACCCGCAUCCUCGCUUCUCUUUUUUUUUUCGGUGAGGGCGCCACGCGCUGAUGGCGUAAGCUCGUACGUCUCUCCCUCCGCGGACGGUGCACUUUACUACAUGCGCACUCAGGGAAGGAACGAGCGGGAGAGGGAGAGAAAACCAUCACAGGAAAGAGUGAGGGAGGAGGAGGCUAGACACUCAAACUGUGACGACAUUACAACGUCAACAAGCGUUCGCCUCUCCCCCUCAAUGCCGUCCCUCCUCGCCCCCUCCCCCUCCUUUGGCAGGCCACCCGUCCUCCAGCGGCGGUGCGCGUCGGCUGUACCCUAAGGACAGCAGCGCCCAAAAGACCGAGGACCGUUUCGUCUUUCUUUAUGGGAGUGUUUGCUCGUGCUCCCCCCUCUCUCAUCUUCCCUUAUCCCCCCUCCGCUCACCCCACCGCACUCAUUGACUGUCUUCAG